GAUGAACGCUGGCGGCGUGCCUAAUACAUGCAAGUCGAGCGAACGGACGAGAAGCUUGCUUCUCUGAUGUUAGCGGCGGACGGGUGAGUAACAUGUGGAUAACCUACCUAUAAGACUGGGAUAACUUCGGGAAACCGUAGCUAAUACCGGAUCAUAUUUUGAACCGCAUGGUUCAAAAGUGAAAGACGGUCUUGCUGUCACUUAUAGAUGGAUCCGCGUUGCAUUAGCUAGUUGGUAAGGUAACGGCUUACCAAGGCAACGAUGCAUAGCCGACCUGAGAGGGUGAUCAGCCACACUGGAACUGAGACACGGUCCAGACUCCUACGGGAGGCAGCAGUAGGGAAUCUUCCGCAAUGGGCGAAAGCCUGACGGAGCAACGCCGCGUGAGUGAUGAAGGUCUUCGGAUCGUAAAACUCUGUUAUUAGGGAAGAACAUAUGUGUAAGUAACUGUGCACAUCUUGACGGUACCUAAUCAGAAAGCCACGGCUAACUACGUG
rnacentral:rRNA from 1 species